AUAAGGGAAAUACCAUAAAGGGCUGAGCAGCGAAGAGCCUGGAGGCAUUUCGCAUUUCGCAGACAGACAUUAAACAUCUGCUGCCUUUCUGCUCAGCCGGCAGCCACCCCGGCCAGCCGCGCCCGCUGGGGACAAGGCAGCGCCCUGCUCCCCACAGAGAGCUCUUCCCCGGACAGCGCUGUAACCUUGGGGGUCACCCGCGGGCAGCGCAAACGAUCUUCACCAAGAACUAGUCCUGUGUUAUUUGUGUUAAUAAGAUGACCUGGGGAAUACAAAAAAUAGAUGAAAGGUAGGUGACACUUCCUGAUGUUAUUUUUAUGUAGUUCUUGAAGGAAAGCCUCCAUUUCUCAUGCU
rnacentral:lncRNA from 12 species